rnacentral:rRNA from 1 species
CAAUGGUGGAGCGGCAGACGGGUGAGUAACACGUGGGAACGUACCCUUCGGUUCGGAAUAACUCAGGGAAACUUGAGCUAAUACCGGAUACGUCCGAGAGGAGAAAGAUUUAUUGCCGAAGGAUCGGCCCGCGUCUGAUUAGCUAGUUGGUGAGGUAACGGCUCACCAAGGCGACGAUCAGUAGCUGGUCUGAGAGGAUGAUCAGCCACAUUGGGACUGAGACACGGCCCAA